AACGAACGCUGGCGGCAUGCCUAACACAUGCAAGUCGAACGAAACAUUCGGGUUUAGUGCCGCAUGGGUGGGUGACGGGUGGGGACAUGCCUUUAGGUUCGGAUGGACGUGCGGAAAGAGGUCCGAAUACCGGCUCUUGUACUCGGUACAAAGUUUGAAAGCCUUUGGGUGGGCUUGGGACGGAUUAGCAUGUUGGUAGGGUAAAUUGCUACAAAGGCGACGAGGCAUAGCUGGGUAGCGAGGAUGAUCAGCCACACUGGGACUGAGACACGGUCCAGACUCCUACGGGAGGCAGCAGUGGGGAAUAUUGGACAAUGGGCGAAAGGCAGAUCCAGCAAUGCCGCGUGAGUGAUGAAAGCCGGAGGGUUGUAAAGCUCGUUUACCCGUGAUGAUAAUGACAUUACCGGGAGAAUAAGCUCCGGCUAACUCCGUG
rnacentral:rRNA from 1 species